GUCAACAAUGGAGCCCUCCCGUCACCUAUAGUGAAGACCAUCUCCAAGGCCAAAGGGAGGCCCCAGGAGCCACAGGUGUAUGUCCUGCCCCCACACCGUGAUGAGCUGGCCAACAAGAAGAACAAGGUCAGCCUCACCUGCAUGAUACUGGGAUUCUACCCAAAUGAAAUUGCUGUCGAGUGGAAAAGCAAUGAGCAGCCAGAACCUGAGAGCAACUACGUGAACACUGAUGCCAAGGCAGAGGCUGAUGGGACAUUCUUCCUAUACAGCAAGCUGACGGUGCAAAAGAGCGACUGGCAGCAAGGAAACCAUUACAGCUGUGUGGUGAUGCAUGAGGCACUGCACAAUCACUACACCCAGAAGUCUGUCUCUCAGUCUCCUGGUAAAUGA